AGCCCAGAGCCUGAAUCAGUGUGUGUGUUAGUGGAAGCGUCUGGAAAGGCGCGCGAUACAGGGUGACAGCCCCGUACACAAAAAUGCACAUACUGUGAGCUCGAUGAGUAGGGCGGGACACGUGGUAUCCUGUCUGAAUAUGGGGGGACCAUCCUCCAAGGCUAAAUACUCCUGACUGACCGAUAGUGAACCAGUACCGUGAGGGAAAGGCGAAAAGAACCCCGGCGAGGGGAGUGAAAAAGAACCUGAAACCGUGUACGUACAAGCAGUGGGAGCCUCUUUAUGGGGUGACUGCGUACCUUUUGUAUAAUGGGUCAGCGACUUAUAUUCUGUAGCAAGGUUAACCGAAUAGGGGAGCCGAAGGGAAACCGAGUCUUAACUGGGCGUUAAGUUGCAGGGUAUAGACCCGAAACCCGGUGAUCUAGCCAUGGGCAGGUUGAAGGUUGGGUAACACUAACUGGAGGACCGAACCGACUAAUGUUGAAAAAUUAGCGGAUGACUUGUGGCUGGGGGUGAAAGGCCAAUCAAACCGGGAGAUAGCUGGUUCUCCCCGAAAGCUAUUUAGGUAGCGCCUCGUGAAUUCAUCUCCGGGGGUAGAGCACUGUUUCGGCAAGGGGGUCAUCCCGACUUACCAACCCGAUGCAAACUGCGAAUACCGGAGAAUGUUAUCACGGGAGACACACGGCGGGUGCUAACGUCCGUCGUGAAGAGGGAAACAACCCAGACCGCCAGCUAAGGUCCCAAAGUCAUGGUUAAGUGGGAAACGAUGUGGGAAGGCCCAGACAGCCAGGAUGUUGGCUUAGAAGCAGCCAUCAUUUAAAGAAAGCGUAAUAGCUCACUGGUCGAGUCGGCCUGCGCGGAAGAUGUAACGGGGCUAAACCAUGCACCGAAGCUGCGGCAGCGACACUAUGUGUUGUUGGGUAGGGGAGCGUUCUGUAAGCCUGUGAAGGUGUACUGUGAGGUAUGCUGGAGGUAUCAGAAGUGCGAAUGCUGACAUAAGUAACGAUAAAGCGGGUGAAAAGCCCGCUCGCCGGAAGACCAAGGGUUCCUGUCCAACGUUAAUCGGGGCAGGGUGAGUCGACCCCUAAGGCGAGGCCGAAAGGCGUAGUCGAUGGGAAACAGGUUAAUAUUCCUGUACUUGGUGUUACUGCGAAGGGGGGACGGAGAAGGCUAUGUUGGCCGGGCGACGGUUGUCCCGGUUUAAGCGUGUAGGCUGGUUUUCCAGGCAAAUCCGGAAAAUCAAGGCUGAGGCGUGAUGACGAGGCACUACGGUGCUGAAGCAACAAAUGCCCUGCUUCCAGGAAAAGCCUCUAAGCAUCAGGUAACAUCAAAUCGUACCCCAAACCGACACAGGUGGUCAGGUAGAGAAUACCAAGGCGCUUGAGAGAACUCGGGUGAAGGAACUAGGCAAAAUGGUGCCGUAACUUCGGGAGAAGGCACGCUGAUAUGUAGGUGAAGCGACUUGCUCGUGGAGCUGAAAUCAGUCGAAGAUACCAGCUGGCUGCAACUGUUUAUUAAAAACACAGCACUGUGCAAACACGAAAGUGGACGUAUACGGUGUGACGCCUGCCCGGUGCCGGAAGGUUAAUUGAUGGGGUUAGCGGUAACGCGAAGCUCUUGAUCGAAGCCCCGGUAAACGGCGGCCGUAACUAUAACGGUCCUAAGGUAGCGAAAUUCCUUGUCGGGUAAGUUCCGACCUGCACGAAUGGCGUAAUGAUGGCCAGGCUGUCUCCACCCGAGACUCAGUGAAAUUGAACUCGCUGUGAAGAUGCAGUGUACCCGCGGCAAGACGGAAAGACCCCGUGAACCUUUACUAUAGCUUGACACUGAACAUUGAGCCUUGAUGUGUAGGAUAGGUGGGAGGCUUUGAAGUGUGGACGCCAGUCUGCAUGGAGCCGGCCUUGAAAUACCACCCUUUAAUGUUUGAUGUUCUAACGUUGGCCCCUGAUCGGGGUUGCGGACAGUGUCUGGUGGGUAGUUUGACUGGGGCGGUCUCCUCCUAAAGAGUAACGGAGGAGCACGAAGGUUGGCUAAUCCUGGUCGGACAUCAGGAGGUUAGUGCAAUGGCAUAAGCCAGCUUGACUGCGAGCGUGACGGCGCGAGCAGGUGCGAAAGCAGGUCAUAGUGAUCCGGUGGUUCUGAAUGGAAGGGCCAUCGCUCAACGGAUAAAAGGUACUCCGGGGAUAACAGGCUGAUACCGCCCAAGAGUUCAUAUCGACGGCGGUGUUUGGCACCUCGAUGUCGGCUCAUCACAUCCUGGGGCUGAAGUAGGUCCCAAGGGUAUGGCUGUUCGCCAUUUAAAGUGGUACGCGAGCUGGGUUUAGAACGUCGUGAGACAGUUCGGUCCCUAUCUGCCGUGGGCGCUGGAGAACUGAGGGGGGCUGCUCCUAGUACGAGAGGACCGGAGUGGACGCAUCACUGGUGUUCGGGUUGUCAUGCCAAUGGCACUGCCCGGUAGCUAAAUGCGGAAGAGAUAAGUGCUGAAAGCAUCUAAGCACGAAACUUGCCCCGAGAUGAGUUCUCCCUGACUCCUUGAGAGUCCUGAAGGAACGUUGAAGACGACGACGUUGAUAGGCCGGGUGUGUAAGCGCAGCGAUGCGUUGAGCUAACCGGUACUAAUGAACCGUGAGGCUUAACCUUACAACGCCGAAG
rnacentral:rRNA from 1 species